rnacentral:lncRNA from 1 species
CAGGCCUUCAAAACGUUGUACCUUAUGCUGAAAACAAGAGAAAAUGGCCAAAAGCUAGGCCAAAUCAAAAAGCUUGGCCUUACAAAGGGGCCAAUUGGGGAAAGCCUAUCACCAAAGGCCUUUCGAUUCAGCAAAGGCUAAGUCCCCAAAACACUUUCAAACCAUCUGGGAGAGCACCUGUUAACCAAUGGGUGAGUGGACAGUACGUCACUUUCAAUCGAAGGAUGAUGGAAAAUGGAAGCUCUAGCAAUGUCAAUGUAAACAUUGUGGCUGAACCCAAGGGUUCAAAAGUGGUAGCUGGAAAGGAAACAGUGAAU